UUGCAAAAAUUGAGAACUGAGCUCACAUGAGGAUAUACCAAAUUUAUUUAAAGAGAGCAACAAAGAAAAUAUUGCAGCAAAAACUGUAGCUAAGUAUGUUCGAUAGUGAUUAUCAUUUUGAGCAAUGUUAGAGGCACUGCUGAAAGCCUUGCUUAUAUCUUCAAUACUUCGGACACGCGUGCAGCUACACUGCUGCUACGGCGCCUCAAUGGUAAUGACGCUUCAUUGGCGAUGAUUUUCGCAGUAAUUUUGACGUAUUCUUUAUUUUUAUGCAGCUGAGUGACAGUGAUUGCGCUAGAAUGUCCAAUUUUUCUUUAGUGUUGAGCUACCUUUGUUUAUCUGUUUAUCUUUCAAACAGCACCAGGCACUACUAUGUCUGGGCCCACUCCUGAAACAAAUCGCACCGUUAACUAUGGUAUACACAUCGAUGGACAUGGCUGUAUAUAUAAAGUUCUCAAGUCCGCAAACGCACUGGUAAGUAAAAUGUUAAGCAAUCCAUUGGUCUUUAAGAGCA